rnacentral:rRNA from 1 species
AGCGAACGCUGGCGGCAGGCCUAACACAUGCAAGUCGAACGAACUCUUCGGAGUUAGUGGCGGACGGGUGAGUAACACGUGGGAACGUGCCUUUAGGUUCGGAAUAACUCAGGGAAACUUGUGCUAAUACCGAAUGUGCCCUUCGGGGGAAAGAUUUAUCGCCUUUAGAGCGGCCCGCGUCUGAUUAGCUAGUUGGUGAGGUAACGGCUCACCAAGGCGACGAUCAGUAUCUGGUCUGAGAGGAUGACCAGCCACACUGGGACUGAGACACGGCCCAGACUCCUACGGGAGGCAGUAGUGGGGAAUCUUGCGCAAUGGGCGAAAGCCUGACGCAGCCAUGCCGCGUGAAUGAUGAAGGUCUUAGGAUUGUAAAAUUCUUUCACCGGGGACGAUAAUGACGGUACCCGGAGAAGAAGCCCCGGCUAACUUCGUGCCAGCAGCCGCCGUAA